CUACGGGGCGCUCCAGUGAGGAAUUUUGCGCAAUGGGGGAAACCCUGACGCAGCAACGCCGCGUGAGCGAAGAAGGCCCUCGGGUCGUAAAGCUCUGUCAAGUGGGAAAAAAAUCUUUUGAUCAAUAGUCAAAAGACUUGAUGGUACCACUGGAGGAAGCACCGGCUAACUCCGUGCCAGCAGCCGCGGUAAUACGGAGGGUGCAAGCGUUGUUCGGAUUUACUGGGCGUAAAGAGCGUGUAGGCGGUUUAGCAAGUCAGAUGUGAAAGCCCUGGGCUCAACCCGGGAAGUGCAUUUGAAACUGCUUCACUAGAGGAUGGGAGAGGGGAUUGGAAUUCCUGGUGUAGAGGUGAAAUUCGUAGAUAUCAGGAGGAACACCCGUGGCGAAGGCGAUUCUCUGGACCAAUACUGACGCUGAGACGCGAAAGCGUGGGGAGCAAACAGGAUUAGAUACCCCCGUAGUC
rnacentral:rRNA from 1 species